GGCCCGUUAGCUCAGUUGGUUAGAGCGUCGUGCUAAUACCGCGAAGGUCGUGGGUUCGAUCCCCCCACGGGCCA
rnacentral:tRNA from 1 species